rnacentral:rRNA from 1 species
AGGACGAACGCUGGCGGCGCGCUUAACACAUGCAAGUCGAGCGAGAACCGGGGCUUCGGCCCCGGGGACAGCGGCGAACGGGUGAGUAACACGUGGAUAACCUGCCCUCGGCACCGGGAUAGCCCGGGGAAACCCGGAUUAAUACCGGAUGGCCCUUCCGAUUUUCGAGUCGGUCGGCAAAGGUGCUUCGGCCUCCGGCCGAGGAUGGGUCCGCGGCGGAUUAGCUUGGUUGGUGGGGUAAUGGCCUACCAAGGCUCCGAUCCGUAGCUGGUCUGAGAGGACGAUCAGCCACACUGGGACUGAGACACGGCCCAGACUCCGUACGGGAGGCAGCAGGUGGGGAAUCUUAGCGCAAGUGGGACGAAAGCCUGACGCGAGCGACGCCGCGGUGGACGGGACGACGGCCGUUCGGUUACGUAACCUUC